rnacentral:rRNA from 1 species
UACGGAGGGAGCUAGCGUUGUUCGGAAUUACUGGGCGUAAAGCGCACGUAGGCGGCUUUGUAAGUCAGGGGUGAAAUCCCGGAGCUCAACUCCGGAACUGCCUUUGAUACUGGCAAUCUUGAGACUGGAAGAGGUUAGUGGAAUUCCCAGUGUAGAGGUGAAAUUCGUAGAUAUUGGGGAGAACACCAGUGGCGAAGGCGGCUAACUGGUCCAGUACUGACGCUGAGGUGCGAAAGCGUGGGGAGCAAACAGG